rnacentral:rRNA from 1 species
GACGAACGCUGGCGGCGUGCUUAACACAUGCAAGUCGAACGGUGAAGCGCCUUCCUUUUUGGUGGGUGUGGAUGAGUGGCGAACGGGUGAGUAACACGUGAGUAACCUGCCCCCUUCUUCUGGAUAACCGCAUGAAAGUGUGGCUAAUACGGGAUAUUCUGGGUCUGUCGCAUGAUGGGUCUGGGAAAGAUAUUGUUUCGGUGGGGGAUGGGCUCGCGGCCUAUCAGCUUGUUGGUGGGGUGAUGGCCUACCAAGGCGGUGACGGGUAGCCGGCCUGAGAGGGUGGACGGUCACAAGGGGACGGAGACACGGCGCAGACUCCGACGGGAGGCAGCAGUGGGGAAUAUUGCACAAUGGGCGAAAGCAUGAUGCAGCGACGCCGCGGGAGGGAUGGAGGCCUUCGGGUUGUGAACCUCUUUCGCCAGUGAAGCAGGCCUGCCUCGUUUGUGGGUGGGUUGACGGUAGCUGGAUAAGAAGCGCCGGCUAACUACGUG